ensembl:lncRNA
AAUCCUCCCUUAGUUAUGCUGCAAUAGACGUAGGCUGCCGGGGAUUCCCAUGAUGCAUUGAGUUUUUCCCUUCCACUCACCUUUCUCACUCACUAUGUGUUAAUAGACCUCUCUGCAUCGAAUCAUAUCUGUUAUUAAUCUCUGUCUCUCUUCCACAGCAUGUCUUUAUCCUGUUUUUCUUCUUUCACCCCAACCGGUCGCAGCAGAUGGCCGCCCCUCCUGAGCCUGGUUCUGCCGGAGGUUUCUUCCUGUUAAAAGGGAGUUUUUCCUUCCCACUGUCGCCAAAGUGCUUGCUCAUAGGGGGUCAUAUGAUUGUUGGGUUUUUCUCUGUAUUUAUUAUUGUGCUAUCUACUGUACAAUAUAAAGCGCCUUGAGGCGACUUUUGUUGUGAUUUGGCGCUAUAUAAAUAAAAUUGAAUUGAAUUGAAUUGAAUUGAACUCCUCAACAUGUCUUGAAGUUCUCCAGAGGCCUCCAGAGGUAAUAAACUAAUCAUUUGAUUCAGGUGUGUUGACCCAGGGUGAGAUCUAAAACCUGCAGGACACCGGCCCUUGAGGCUAGGAGUUGCCUACCCCUGAUAUAGAGGGAAGCUGGCAACUCUGUGCCAAAGCAUGCUGCAUUUUAGUACAGAGGGAUGGAGAACUGGCAACUCUGUGCCUUUUUUUUCUCUCUCUCUUACCUCCCUGUCUAUGAGAGAAAGUGGCAACCCGAUUGUAGAAAAGUUUGCUGCUGCUUUUACAAAUGACGGUUAAAGGAAAACCUGGCAACCCAGUGCCAUUUUUAUUUUAAUUUUUUUUCCCCAUGCAGAGAAACUGGCCGUUCGGUGGUAGGAAGCUUGUUGCUGCGUUUGCGAAUGACAGAUAGGGAAGAACCUGGCAUCCCAGUGCCAACGUUCAGUGAGUUUCUUGGAUUGCCGGAGGAAAAGCGAUGAAUGCAGAGCCUGAGUAGUUGUUCGUCUGAUGCGCUGACGGACGGGAGUGCGAUUGACAACAGGAGAGACGAGUCCUCCGUCACAGGUGGUGUGGUCAGUGAAGAUGGUCGCCUGCAGGUUCAAGCUCAUUGCAUCUCCAGCCCACAUCCACUGCCACUGUACUUAAGGGAAGUUAAAGACUUUCUUCUGCACUUACAUUUGGAUCACCUCGAUCCAUGACAGUCAUUCAGGCAGUAAUGACGAAUCUCUUCGUCCGCAUGGUUACUUGUUGCUUUCUGUUCCACUUGCCCGAACUGAACUUGGUAAAAGAGCUUUUGUCAAUUUAGCACCCUCGGCUUGGAACAAACUGCAGAAGGACUGGAAAAUGACUGAAUUCAUUUCAUUAAGUGCUUUUAGAUCUAAACUACGAAUCCUUGAGGCCAAGUCCAUAAUAUGCAACUGUUUUAAUUAGAUUGAUUGUCAUUUUAACUGCCUUUUUUUUUUCUUUUUUUUUUUAAUUGAAUUUUAUUUUAUUUGUUUUCUUUCACUUAUUGUUGCAUGUGUGUUGUUGAUGCCUAUGUUUGAGUAAUCUCUGUAACUGUGAGACACCUGCUGCUGCCUAUCUUGGCCAGGUCUCCCUUGAAAAAGAGGUUUUUAAUCUCAAUGGGAUCUUCCUGGUUAAAUAAAGGUUAAUAAUAAUAAUAAAUGCCUGGACUGGAAACAAGCAUCCUUAAAAUAAUACAACAUUCCAGCUCAUGUGUUGGAAUGAAAAACAAAUGUGUGGUUUAAAUUAGAGACUGCACUUGUGACAGAACAAUAAAUAUUUUAUUUUGAUUAUAUAAGUAAGUACAAAACAAACUUGUGGUAGGCCUAAACUUAUUUUAAGAAUAAUUACAUCUGAGACUUUGUCUCAUUGUAAGAUUAUAAUUGUUUGUUGUUCAGCAGAACAGUGUUCAGUAUGUUGGCUGUUAUACUUUGUUGCAUUUGAAAAUAAAAGUUGGGCUCAUUUUAACAUCAUUACAAAAAGUGUUGUUAAUUAUUUUUAAUCAUAUUCAGGUUACCACAAAUUGUUUUUUCAUUUAGUUGAAUGUUUGUCAGUAGGUAAACAAUUAGUAUUGUACAUUCAGAAAUAUCAAGUUAUUCUUAAUACUGCAGACUUGCAAUGUAUAAGUUGUCCUAACAGUCAUCUUAAGUAAGCUUUACUUAGUUUUUUUUGAGGCAACAAGUUUCCAUAAUUUUUUUGAGUUCUGGGAACUAACAAGGCUGUACAGUGUACUCAAAAUGGGUAAGUUGCCCUAACUUGGUCAUCUUAAGUAAACUUGAUCCAAUUUUUUUGACUUCUGGGAACAAAUGAGCUUGUACAGAGUACUCAAAAUAAAUAAGUUGUCCUAAUUUAGUCAUUUUUAGCUAAGCUUUACUCAAUUUUUUUAAGGCAAUGAGUUUCCUCAGUUUUUUUGAGUUCUGGGAACUAAUUAGAUUUUACAGUGAUGGAAGUAUUAUUGUAACAAAAUGUUUUCUAAGUAGAUUUUUUACCAAUUGAACACAUUUGUUUCUGUGGUCUUAAAUACAUAAAAGCAUAUUGUUUAACUUGGCUGCGAUGGUACAAAUCUAAAUUUCCGGUUUAUUUUCACUUUUUAAAUAUGAAGUGUUGAAAGGCCUACAGUUAAAAAAUAAAAAAGUUAUUUGCUAAAAAAAAAUGCUGAAUGAAUUCAUUUUUUAAAAGCUAUUACAAU